UUUUUUUUUUUUUUUUUUUUUUCAGCAUUGCAAAGCAAUGACACCAGAUCCCUUGCAAGCAUUUGUGAGUACAUAACUUAUACCACAUGGCCUAGUCAUAAUGACAACAUAAAGAAGCUUGGGAUUAUUUAUCUAGUUGAAAAGCAACCAUUUGUAGGUCAAGCCAGAAGAUGGUUGAGAAAUCUCUCUUCUAUAGAUUUCAUACUUACAUGUGACAUGGAAUUCCAUAAAGAGCAUGUUACAAUAUCUAUAUGUGAGCUAUCUGGCAUGUAACACUGUGGAAUGUCUAAACAAACUACGACCCAUGAAAUCUGAUUAAUCUCGAGAUAAUAGGAUCAUAGGUUACAUCUGUUCAAAUCACAGAAAGAGAUGAAGUGGUCCUAAAACAUCACAGUAGCAUCAAUUCUUAGUUUUCUCAUAAAUGAUACCUUUUUUUGUUAAAAAACAAAACAAAACAAAACAAAACAAAACAAGCCUUUACUUUUAUCUCCCCGGCCCCUCAAAAAGUUAUUCUGCAGACUUCAGGCAAGUCUUGGUGACUUGAUGUUAGAACUGGCAUCUACCACUGUAAGGAGAAUAUCCAAAUCAUAAAAAACCCUUUAUUGCAUGAUUUUUUAUUUACUAAUACAACUGAGAGGUAAAAAUUGUUUGUAUUUGUAGUAUUCAGUAUUAUAUAUGUAUAUUGUAAAAUAACAAAAUCAUAUUAAAUACUGUGUUAUACUCAGUAAAUAGAUGCAUAUUCAUCUAUAAGUAAAGUGUCAUACGUGUAUAUAGAUACUUCAUCUAAUAGUGUAGGGCCUAGACUUCGUAAAGUAGGCACAUCUUCAAGUUCAUGUAUCUGAUUGGCACCUCAAAUUGGCCUAAAAUCAGGUCAGACUAGAAGAGACUGCACAUCUCCCUCAACCUCCAUCUGUGGAUUCUACACUGUUAGGGACAAUGAACAGAAAUAGGCGGAGUUAGGAGGGGUCUAGAGAAAGAGAUGGGUAGAGAUGAGCGUGGCUCAUCUGUAAGUACCAUUAGAAACCCAUCACUAUACACAGUGAAUACAUAGCAAUUAAAGGUGCGGAGAGCUGUGAAAAUGUCAGUGAGCUUGAGGUUCCUUUGUCUUCCUGCCCUUUACUGCACCUUUUUGGGAUCCGCUGACCCGAGUAAUUUGGAUGUUUUAAGUGUUGUGGGAUUUCCCCUGAAAAGGCAUUUUUGUCUCCCUAGUAGAUAUAUGCCUAUGACUGUAAUAGACAGAGAGAUACAGAUUUAACUUGACAGCUUUAGUUUUUGAAGUCUAGGUCAUCAACAUCUCCCUAACAACUUGUGACAUUAGGGCAAAAAGAAAUUUAAUUUCGUUUGGGGAAGGGUGAGGCGUUUGCCAGUGAAAUAUACUAUCCCCUCCACAUAUCCACAUUAUUCAUGUUUUCUAGAUUUAAAAAUCAAGAUAAAAUUUCUCAAGAACGGAGAGAAUAAUUUCACAAAUUUCCUAUUUUACUCAUGCUAACAGGACACAUUUUACUGUGGAGUUUAAAAACCAUUCUUUCAAUGAUGACAUUUCAUUCUUUGGGUCAUGAACAGGUUAGCUUGAUUCAGAAACUUUUAUAGGACACAAUUUGGUAUGUCUCAGGUAUUGUGUUAAUUACUAAUAAGAGAAAGGUGAACAGUGCAUGGUGUUUGGGAGAACCUUAAUACCUGGUGAGAGAAACAAGUUAGGAGCCAUUUAGUACCAAUGAGCUAAAUAGUAGGUACAGGGUUGGCACACGCACAACCGAGUGGGCAGCUGUUUGGGUGGCUCAGGAAAGCUGAGGCAGAUGGGAACUGCCUUCCACUGUGAGUGGGUGUUUGUCAGAAGAGGAAACCAACAGGAAGGACUGAGGUCUGGUGGUGGAAGUAGCAGAUAUGGAGGCAGGGGUCAGGAAGCAGGGUGGCAUGUUCAAGGGGCUGUAAGCCCGGGAGGCAGAAUUAGUGCAGGGUAGUAAUAGAAGCUGAGAGGAAAACAGAUGGACAGCAUUUUCUCAAAGGUGUAAGGACCACUAAAGUGUUUGAAUUUUGUGGGAAAGAAUGGGUUUUGAGGAGAGACUUUGGUUUAAAUGCAUACAUACACACAUUACAUAAAAUAUGUAUAAUAUACACACAGAUAUAUAUAUAUAUAUAAUACACACGUCUAUCUAUCUAUCUAUCUAUCUAUCUAUCUAUCUAUCUAUCUAUCUAUCUAUCUAUCUAUCUAUCUUUUUUGCUUCCUGCAAGACUCUCCAGUUCCUCUUCUUUGUAGUCUGUAAUGUAGUAAGAAGCGAUUUCCUUUAAGAGACAUGAGAGAGGGAACGAGUUUGCCAACUAUUAACUUAUCAGUGAAAAUAUGUUUCCUUCAAAACUAUUGUAUUUACCUCAAUCUGUGAGUGGGAAACACAACAGCAGAUGAAUACAGAGCUGCACUAAUUUGAGUUGCAUUGUAAAAAGCGCUUUAAAAGCUUUUCAUUGAUUGUUUGUAAAUUUCACACCGUGCAUCCCAACCCCACUCAUCUCCCCAUUCAUCCCCUCUGCCCUCACAACCUCCCUCCCC
rnacentral:lncRNA from 1 species